rnacentral:rRNA from 1 species
UCGGCAAUGGGCGAAAGCCUGACCGAGCGACGCCGCGUGCGGGAUGAAGGCCUUCGGGUUGUAAACCGCUGUCGUAGAGGAGGAAAUGUAAGGGGGUUCUCCCCUUUGCUUGACCUAUUCUAGGAGGAAGUACGGGCUAAGUUCGUGCCAGCAGCCGCGGUAAGACGAACCGUACAAACGUUACUCGGAAUUACUGGGCUUAAAGGGUGCGUAGGCUGCGCGGAAAGUUGGGUGUGAAAUCCCUCGGCUCAACCGGGGAAUUGCAUCCAAAACUGCCGUGCUCGAGGGAGACAGAGGUAAGCGGAACUCAAGGUGGAGCGGUGAAAUGCGUUGAUAUCUUGAGGAACACCGGUGGCGAAGGCGGCUUACUGGGUCUCUUCUGACGCUGAGGCACGAAAGCUAAGGUAGCAAACGGGAUUAGAUACCCCGGUAGUCUUAGCUGUAAGCGAUGAGCACUUGAUUGGAGGGUCCUCCAUAGCCUUCCAGUCGUAGCGAAAGUGUUAAGUGCUCCGCCUGGGGAGUAUGGUCGCAAGGCUGAAACUCAAAGAA